rnacentral:rRNA from 1 species
GAUGAACGCUAGCGGCAGGCUUAAUACAUGCAAGUCGAGGGACAGCACAGGUAGCAAUACUGGGUGGUAACCGGCAAACGGGUGCGGAACACGUACACAACCUUCCUUUAAGUGGGGAAUAGCCCAGAGAAAUUUGGAUUAAUACCCCGUAAUAUAGUUGAAUGGCAUCAUUUGAUUAUUAUAGCUACGGCGCUCAAUGAUGGGUGUGCGGCUGAUUAGGUAGUUGGCGGGGUAACGGCCCACCAAGUCUACGAUCAGUAGCUGAUGUGAGAGCAUGAUCAGCCACACGGGCACUGAGACACGGGCCCGACUCCUACGGGAGGCAGCAGUAAGGAAUAUUGGUCAAUGGACGCAAGUCUGAACCAGCCAUGCCGCGUGAAGGAUUAAGGUCCUCUGGAUUGUAAUCUUCUUUUAUUUGGGACGAAAAAGGGCCUUUCUAGGUCAACUGACGGUACCAGAUGAAUAAGCACCGGCUAACUCCGUGCCAGCCGCCGCAGUAAAAC